rnacentral:rRNA from 1 species
GAUGAACGCUGGCGGCGUGCUUAACACAUGCAAGUCGAACGAAGCAUUUAGGACAGAUUCCUUCGGUUUGAAGUUCUUUAUGACUGAGUGGCGGACGGGUGAGUAACGCGUGGGUAACCUGCCUUGUACUGGGGGAUAGCAGCUGGAAACGGCUGGUAAUACCGCAUAAGCGCACAAUGUUGCAUGACAUGGUGUGAAAAACUCCGGUGGUAUAAGAUGGACCGCGUCUGAUUAGCUAGUUGGUGAGAUAACAGCCCACCAAGGCGACGAUCAGUAGCCGACCUGAGAGGGUGACCGGCCACAUUGGGACUGAGACACGGCCCAGACUCCUACGGGAGGCAGCAGUGGGGAAUAUUGCACAAUGGAGGAAACUCUGAUGCAGCGACGCCGCGUGAGUGAAGAAGUAAUUCGUUAUGUAAAGCUCUAUCAGCAGGGAAGAUAGUGACGGUACCUGACGAAGAAGCUCCGGCUAAAUACGUG